rfam:Cavia porcellus supercont2_8 genomic scaffold, whole genome shotgun sequence.
UGGCGCCCAACGUGGGGCUCCUGGCACAGGGGAGUCAACAAGGGAGCCAUUUGAGAACGCCAGCUAAAAGUGAAAGCAAAUUGAAUCAAGGACUGAGGCAUGCAUGGACAACCACCUGACAUGCCACCCAAGUCAUGGUAAGUGAACGGCAACCCCAUCCCCUUUCCCCAACAUGGAUCAAGCAUUGAGCGAACAUGAAUUGUUUGUGGGAGGCCUUAGCAAGGCAUUAAAGACAAGAGGGGUAAGGGUUAGAACAAAAGAAUUGUUGCAGUAUUUUCAGUUUAUCCAUAAAGUUUACCCUU